UUGGCCCUGAAUCAAGGCUGGUGGCUUGCUGUAGCUGCGGGUUUCAAGCAGGAGCCGAAAGAAUCUCUUCCCAUGGUCUGUUGGCUGUGCCAGUAUUCUUCAGGGCCCAGCCAAUUCAGUUGGAAGGAACAGUA